rnacentral:sRNA from 12 species
AGAUAAUCCCAGGCAACUGGGGAAAGGUUGAAUCCGGCUGGUGGGUCCAACCCCUCUAAGUCCGUUCCGCAAGGAGCGGAGACCGGAGGCACAAUUCACCGGUUCCUCUGGCGGCGUUCGCGCGCCGUCAGUAACGCGAAAAGGAACUGAGCGGCCAGGAACGCGAAAUGGUUCCGCGCCGAGUCAAGUAUUCCAGGCAGGUUUCGGGCCUGGAGGAAUCGCAGUUACCCGGAGGGUAACGGUUGCUACUGUGGAUCAGCACGGAAAGAGCGGCCCGCCCGGCCUCCAACCAGGCCGAAAGACGCCGAAAGGCGGGACAAAGCGGGUGCUCCCACCGGGAAGAACAGCAGGCCCAGGCAUGGUCUGCGACGGCUUCCAAAACGCCGGCGACGCUACAAACGGCGGCGCGGGCUUGUGAGCGAAAAGCAACCCCAGAGUUAAGAGGUCAGACCCGUGGCACCGGGCCAACGCACCGCCAAAAGCGGUGGCCGACCCGGAGCAAAACGGUGGAGAUGCGGAACCGUGGUCACAAACGUGUCUUCACCCGGUUCGCAAGCCGGCGUCCGCAAACGCCAGCCCAAGCGAGCCAAGAGGCCUCACUCGAUGAUUCAGCGCCGCAAGUCGCUGAACGGCCCUGCUAUGAGGCCGGCAACUCCGCUGGCCGCGGAGAAUGGCGUCGGGAAGCUGGCAGCCCCGCCAGGGCGCGCCUAAUGUCAGCGUGGGAAAGAGAGAGUGGCGAACUCC